UCAUCUCUGCCAGCUUGUAGUUCUUGUCUAGCAUGGCCAAGCGGGCUCGCACCAGAUAAUGGUCUGUACCAUCCCCACCCUGCAGACAACAUCAAUUAGCUUACUCAGUUUGCUGAGUGAAGGAAUGGGCUCUGGAAUGAUACAAGGGAGGUGAUUGCAGGUGGGGUCUGUGUCAUUACAGAAACAAAAGAAGACAGUUGAGAAUCACAGAAGUGACAAGACAGGAGCAGUAUGGAAUGAGUAGCCAGAAGAGGGACCUGGCAAGCAUGCCAUAUUGCCACACUUUCCCAGCUGCGCCUGCCUCACCCUCAUCUUCUUGUCCCUGAAGAGCAGUUUGUGGCCUGUUUCAUUCAGCUCCAGCCAGUCAAUCUUGCUGUCAUGGCUGAUGGUGCCAGUGUUGUAGCCACCAACAAGGUCCACUUGGGAAGGAAAGACAGGAAACAGUGGUUAUGAUUUAUAUAACUUGACAGUCCACACACUGAGCUUGUUCUGUACCUGGCAUGUGGAAAAGGCAAGUAUGGGGAGGAAGCAGGUGAGGAUCUGCAUGGAGAGGGUAAGUCCAGGAAAGUGCUGAGAAACAGGGUAUUCCAGAAGUGUAGAUGACACUUUCUCUGCUGCUGCACACACAGCUUUACUCACCAUUCAUGAGUAAUACCUUGUCCCAUCC